UUUUUUUUUUCUUCCUGAUGUGUGGGCCCCGCAAUCAUCACCAACCUUCAGCCAGAGUUCUUAUCACAUACGCCGAUGAACCAGAACCGAAAACUGCCCAGAAAAAUCUCCGAUUCGGCUCAGAUUUUUGCCCCUGUGCCACGAAAUUCCCCCAUAAAUACCCAUGUAUCCCCUUUGUUUUUCCCCUCCGAAAACCUAAUUUGGUCGCCGCCAGGCUGCCUCGAUUUCGCUCGCCGGAGUUCGACGUCAGCCACGGUGCCAUCGCCGAUUUCAGCCGCCAGACGACUUCCAUGACGACGACAUCCACGACCCACACUGUCGCCGCGUUGGUAACGUAACCAGUCCGAGCUCCGCCAUAGCUUCCAGACGGGAUCAAGAACACCGAUCCCCGCAUUGUCACGGAGGUGCUUCGCCGCACGCACAUCACCCGAGCAGGACGACCACCGGAGCCCCGCCCACGUCGCCUUGCCAAGAACGCCCGCGUGAAUCGCUACUGAUUGUCCGGAGUGCAACGAGUGCGACUACGGUGAUUGUCUGAACAACAACGAAGG